GAUGAACGCUAGCGAUAGGCUUAACACAUGCAAGUCGAGGGGCAGCAUGGUCUUAGCUUGCUAAGACUGAUGGCGACCGGCGCACGGGUGCGUAACGCGUAUGCAACUUGCCUCACAGAGGGGGAUAACCCGUCGAAAGACGGACUAAUACCGCGUACACUUGGGAUAGGGCAUCCUGACCCAAGGAAAUGAAAUUCGCUGUGAGAUAGGCAUGCGUCCCAUUAGCUAGUUGGUGAGGUAACGGCUCACCAAGGCGACGAUGGGUAGGGGAACUGAGAGGUUGAACCCCCACACUGGUACUGCGACACGGACCAGACGCCUACGGGAGGCAGCAGUGAGGAAUAUUGGUCAAUGGGCGAGAGCCUGAACCAGCCAAGUCGCGUGAAGGAUGACUGUCUUAUGGAUUGUAAACUUCUUUUAUACGGGAAUAACAAGAGCCACGUGUGGCUCCCUGCAUGUACCGUAUGAAUAAGCAUCGGCUAACUCCGUG
rnacentral:rRNA from 1 species